GACGAACGCUGGCGGCGUGCUUAACACAUGCAAGUCGAACGGAAAGGCCCUGCUUUUGUGGGGUGCUCGAGUGGCGAACGGGUGAGUAACACGUGAGUAACCUGCCCUUGACUUUGGGAUAACUUCAGGAAACUGGGGCUAAUACCGGAUAGGAGCUCCUGCUGCAUGGUGGGGGUUGGAAAGUUUCGGCGGUUGGGGAUGGACUCGCGGCUUAUCAGCUUGAUGGUGGGGUAGUGGCUUACCAAGGCUUUGACGGGUAGCCGGCCUGAGAGGGUGACCGGCCACAUUGGGACUGAGAUACGGCCCAGACUCCUACGGGAGGCAGCAGUGGGGAAUAUUGCACAAUGGGCGGAAGCCUGAUGCAGCAACGCCGCGUGCGGGAUGACGGGCUUCGGGUUGUAAACCGCUUUCGCCUGUGACGAAGCGUGAGUGACGGUAAUGGGUAAAGAAGCACCGGCUAACUACGUG
rnacentral:rRNA from 1 species